GACGAACGCUGGCGGCGUGCUUAACACAUGCAAGUCGAACGGAAAGGCCCUGCUUUUGUGGGGUGCUCGAGUGGCGAACGGGUGAGUAACACGUGAGUAACCUGCCCUUGACUUUGGGAUAACUUCAGGAAACUGGGGCUAAUACCGGAUAGGAGCUCCUGCUGCAUGGUGGGCGUUGGAAAGUUUCGGCGGUUGGGGAUGGACUCGCGGCUUAUCAGCUUGUUGGUGGGGUAGUGGCUUACCAAGGCUUUGACGGGUAGCCGGCCUGAGAGGGUGACCGGCCACAUUGGGACUGAGAGACGGCCCAGACUCCUACGGGAGGCAGCAGUGGGGAAUAUUGCACAAUGGGCGGAAGCCUGAUGCAGCAACGCCGCGUGCGGGAUGACGGCCUUCGGGUUGUAAACCGCUUUCGCCUGUGACGAAGCGGGAGUGACGGUAAUGGGUAAAGAAGCACCGGCUAACUACGUG
rnacentral:rRNA from 1 species